rnacentral:rRNA from 1 species
CGAAGGGUGCAAGCGUUACUCGGAAUUACUGGGCGUAAAGCGUGCGUAGGUGGUUUGUUAAGUCUGUCGUGAAAUCCCCGGGCUCAACCUGGGAGUGGCGAUGGAUACUGGCAAGCUAGAGUGAGGUAGAGGAGAGUGGAAUUCCCGGUGUAGCAGUGAAAUGCGUAGAGAUCGGGAGGAACAUCAGUUGCGAAGGCGGCUCUCUGGACCAUCACUGACACUGAGGCACGAAAGCGUGGGGAGCAAACAGGAUUAGAUACCCUGGUAGUCCACGCCCUAAACGAUGCGAACUGGACGUUGGGCUCAAUUAGGAGCUCAGUGUCGAAGCUAACGCGUUAAGUUCGCCGCCUGGGGAGUACGGUCGCAAGACUG